AACGAACGCUGGCGGCAUGCCUAACACAUGCAAGUCGAACGAUGCCUUCGGGCAUAGUGGCGCACGGGUGCGUAACGCGUGGGAAUCUGCCCUUGGCUUCGGAAUAACAGUUAGAAAUGACUGCUAAUACCGGAUGAUGUCCCCCUGAGAGAUCUUGGGGACCAAAGAUUUAUCGGCCAGGGAUGAGCCCGCGUAGGAUUAGGUAGUUGGUGGGGUAAAGGCCUACCAAGCCGACGAUCCUUAGCUGGUCUGAGAGGAUGAUCAGCCACACUGGGACUGAGACACGGCCCAGACUCCUACGGGAGGCAGCAGUGGGGAAUAUUGGACAAUGGGGGGAACCCUGAUCCAGCAAUGCCGCGUGAGUGAUGAAGGCCUUAGGGUUGUAAAGCUCUUUUACCAGGGAUGAUAAUGACAGUACCUGGAGAAUAAGCUCCGGUUAACUCCGUG
rnacentral:rRNA from 1 species